rnacentral:rRNA from 1 species
AGCAGUAGCCGCGGUAAUACGAAGGGGGCUAGCGUUGCUCGGAAUUACUGGGCGUAAAGGGCGCGUAGGCGGCGCUCCAAGUUAGGCGUGAAAUUCCCGGGCUCAACCUGGGGACUGCGCUUAAGACUGGAGUGCUUGAGGAUGGAAGAGGGUUGUGGAAUUCCCAGUGUAGAGGUGAAAUUCGUAGAUAUUGGGAAGAACACCGGUGGCGAAGGCGGCAACCUGGUCCAUUACUGACGCUGAGGCGCGAUAGCGUGGGGAGCAAACAGGAUUAGAUACCCCGGUAGUCCCUGUCUCUUAUAC